AAUUGAAGAGUUUGAUCAUGGCUCAGAUUGAACGCUGGCGGCAGGCCUAACACAUGCAAGUCGAACGGUAACAGGAAGCAGCUUGCUGCUUUGCUGACGAGUGGCGGACGGGUGAGUAAUGUCUGGGAAACUGCCUGAUGGAGGGGGAUAACUACUGGAAACGGUAGCUAAUACCGCAUAAUGUCGCAAGACCAAAGAGGGGGACCUUCGGGCCUCUUGCCAUCGGAUGUGCCCAGAUGGGAUUAGCUAGUAGGUGGGGUAAAGGCUCACCUAGGCGACGAUCCCUAGCUGGUCUGAGAGGAUGACCAGCCACACUGGAACUGAGACACGGUCCAGACUCCUACGGGAGGCAGCAGUGGGGAAUAUUGCACAAUGGGCGCAAGCCUGAUGCAGCCAUGCCGCGUGUAUGAAGAAGGCCUUCGGGUUGUAAAGUACUUUCAGCGGGGAGGAAGGGAGUAAAGUUAAUACCUUUGCUCAUUGACGUUACCCGCAGAAGAAGCACCGGCUAACUCCGUGCCAGCAGCCGCGGUAAUACGGAGGGUGCAAGCGUUAAUCGGAAUUACUGGGCGUAAAGCGCACGCAGGCGGUUUGUUAAGUCAGAUGUGAAAUCCCCGGGCUCAACCUGGGAACUGCAUCUGAUACUGGCAAGCUUGAGUCUCGUAGAGGGGGGUAGAAUUCCAGGUGUAGCGGUGAAAUGCGUAGAGAUCUGGAGGAAUACCGGUGGCGAAGGCGGCCCCCUGGACGAAGACUGACGCUCAGGUGCGAAAGCGUGGGGAGCAAACAGGAUUAGAUACCCUGGUAGUCCACGCCGUAAACGAUGUCGACUUGGAGGUUGUGCCCUUGAGGCGUGGCUUCCGGAGCUAACGCGUUAAGUCGACCGCCUGGGGAGUACGGCCGCAAGGUUAAAACUCAAAUGAAUUGACGGGGGCCCGCACAAGCGGUGGAGCAUGUGGUUUAAUUCGAUGCAACGCGAAGAACCUUACCUGGUCUUGACAUCCACGGAAGUUUUCAGAGAUGAGAAUGUGCCUUCGGGAACCGUGAGACAGGUGCUGCAUGGCUGUCGUCAGCUCGUGUUGUGAAAUGUUGGGUUAAGUCCCGCAACGAGCGCAACCCUUAUCCUUUGUUGCCAGCGGUCCGGCCGGGAACUCAAAGGAGACUGCCAGUGAUAAACUGGAGGAAGGUGGGGAUGACGUCAAGUCAUCAUGGCCCUUACGACCAGGGCUACACACGUGCUACAAUGGCGCAUACAAAGAGAAGCGACCUCGCGAGAGCAAGCGGACCUCAUAAAGUGCGUCGUAGUCCGGAUUGGAGUCUGCAACUCGACUCCAUGAAGUCGGAAUCGCUAGUAAUCGUGGAUCAGAAUGCCACGGUGAAUACGUUCCCGGGCCUUGUACACACCGCCCGUCACACCAUGGGAGUGGGUUGCAAAAGAAGUAGGUAGCUUAACCUUCGGGAGGGCGCUUACCACUUUGUGAUUCAUGACUGGGGUGAAGUCGUAACAAGGUAACCGUAGGGGAACCUGCGGUUGGAUCACCUCCUUA
rnacentral:rRNA from 1 species